rnacentral:rRNA from 1 species
UACAGAGGUCCCAAGCGUUGUUCGGAUUCACUGGGCGUAAAGGGUGCGUAGGUGGCCAGGUAAGUUCGGUGUGAAAGCUCGGAGCUUAACUCCGAAAUGGCAUUGAAUACUAUCUGGCUAGAGGGUCGGAGGGGAGACUGGAAUUCUCGGUGUAGCAGUGAAAUGCGUAGAUAUCGAGAGGAACACCAGUGGCGAAGGCGGCUCACUGGCCCGGUACUGACGCUGAGGUGCGAAAGCGUGGGGAGCAAACAGG